CCCGCGGCAAGACGGAAAGACCCCGUGAACCUUUACUAUAGCUUGACACUGAACAUUGAGCCUUGAUGUGUAGGAUAGGUGGGAGGCUUUGAAGUGUGGACGCCAGUCUGCAUGGAGCCGACCUUGAAAUACCACCCUUUAAUGUUUGAUGUUCUAACGUUGGCCCGUAAUCCGGGUUGCGGACAGUGUCUGGUGGGUAGUUUGACUGGGGCGGUCUCCUCCUAAAGAGUAACGGAGGAGCACGAAGGUUGGCUAAUCCUGGUCGGACAUCAGGAGGUUAGUGCAAUGGCAUAAGCCAGCUUGACUGCGAGCGUGACGGCGCGAGCAGGUGCGAAAGCAGGUCAUAGUGAUCCGGUGGUUCUGAAUGGAAGGGCCAUCGCUCAACGGAUAAAAGGUACUCCGGGGAUAACAGGCUGAUACCGCCCAAGAGUUCAUAUCGACGGCGGUGUUUGGCACCUCGAUGUCGGCUCAUCACAUCCUGGGGCUGAAGUAGGUCCCAAGGGUAUGGCUGUUCGCCAUUUAAAGUGGUACGCGAGCUGGGUUUAGAACGUCGUGAGACAGUUCGGUCCCUAUCUGCCGUGGGCGCUGGAGAACUGAGGGGGGCUGCUCCUAGUACGAGAGGACCGGAGUGGACGCAUCACUGGUGUUCGGGUUGUCAUGCCAAUGGCACUGCCCGGUAGCUAAAUGCGGAAGAGAUAAGUGCUGAAAGCAUCUAAGCACGAAACUUGCCCCGAGAUGAGUUCUCCCUGAGACUUAGAGUCUCCUGAAGGAACGUUGAAGACGACGACGUUGAUAGGCCGGGUGUGUAAGCGCAGCGAUGCGUUGAGCUAACCGGUACUAAUGAACCGUGAGGCUUAACCUUACAAC
rnacentral:rRNA from 1 species